AGAGUUUGAUCCUGGCUCAGAUUGAACGCUGGCGGCAUGCCUUACACAUGCAAGUCGAACGGUAACAGGGAGCCUGCUCCGCUGACGAGUGGCGAACGGGUGAGUAACAUAUCGGAACGUACCAUUCAGUGGGGGAUAACGUAGCGAAGGUUACGCUAAUACCGCAUAUUCUGUGAGCAGGAAAGCAGGGGAUCGCAAGACCUUGCGCUGAUUGAGCGGCCGAUAUCAGAUUAGCUAGUUGGUGAGGUAAAAGCUCACCAAGGCGACGAUCUGUAGCGGGUCUGAGAGGAUGAUCCGCCACACUGGAACUGAGACACGGUCCAGACUCCUACGGGAGGCAGCAGUGGGGAAUUUUGGACAAUGGGGGCAACCCUGAUCCAGCCAUGCCGCGUGAGUGAAGAAGGCCUUCGGGUUGUAAAGCUCUUUCAGCCGGGAAGAAAACGCAUUGGUUAAUACCUGAUGUGGAUGACGGUACCGGAAUAAGAAGCACCGGCUAACUACGUGCCAGCAGCCGCGGUAAUACGUAGGGUGCGAGCGUUAAUCGGAAUUACUGGGCGUAAAGCGUGCGCAGGCGGUUUUGUAAGAUAGGUGUGAAAUCCCCGGGCUUAACCUGGGAACUGCAUUUAUGACCGCAAGGCUAGAGUACGGCAGAGGGGGGUGGAAUUCCACGUGUAGCAGUGAAAUGCGUAGAGAUGUGGAGGAACACCAAUGGCGAAGGCAGCCCCCUGGGUCGAUACUGACGCUCAUGCACGAAAGCGUGGGUAGCAAACAGGAUUAGAUACCCUGGUAGUCCACGCCCUAAACGAUGUCAACUAGGUGUUGGGUGGGUAAAACCAUUUAGUACCGGAGCUAACGCGUGAAGUUGACCGCCUGGGGAGUACGGCCGCAAGGUUAAAACUCAAAGGAAUUGACGGGGACCCGCACAAGCGGUGGAUGAUGUGGAUUAAUUCGAUGCAACGCGAAAAACCUUACCUACCCUUGACAUGUCAGGAACUUGCCAGAGAUGGCUUGGUGCUCGAAAGAGAACCUGAACACAGGUGCUGCAUGGCUGUCGUCAGCUCGUGUCGUGAGAUGUUGGGUUAAGUCCCGCAACGAGCGCAACCCUUGUCGUUAAUUGCCAUCAUUUAGUUGGGCACUUUAACGAGACUGCCGGUGACAAACCGGAGGAAGGUGGGGAUGACGUCAAGUCCUCAUGGCCCUUAUGGGUAGGGCUUCACACGUCAUACAAUGGUCGGUACAAAGGGUCGCCAACCCGCGAGGGGGAGCUAAUCCCAUAAAGCCGAUCGUAGUCCGGAUUGCAGGCUGCAACUCGCCUGCAUGAAGUCGGAAUCGCUAGUAAUCGUGGAUCAGCAUGUCACGGUGAAUACGUUCCCGGGUCUUGUACACACCGCCCGUCACACCAUGGGAGCGGGUUCCGCCAGAAGUAGGUAGCCUAACCGCAAGGAGGGCGCUUACCACGGCGGGGUUCGUGACUGGGGUGAAGUCGUAACAAGGUA
rnacentral:rRNA from 1 species